GCAGCGCGCCAGAAACCACUUCAGCUUCCGCCAUGAUGGAACAAAACGCAGGUCGAACUCGCCUUCGAAUCAUUUGUAGCUGAAGGAGCUGGAGGUUUGUUGGCGCCAAAAAUCCGCUGCUGAUUUUAACGGUUUACACUGUACAUCGAACACCGCAGAGAAUGACCAGCGCAGACAAGAUGGAUGACAGGACUGAGUCCUCAAGAGCGAGAAGCAGAAAUGCGUCGGCUCCACCGAACCUGGGGAGAGGGUGAACGUCUCUGUGGCGGCGCUGUCGUGUCCAUCAGAGAUGAAUCAACAGGAUCGUGAUCGCUCGUGACGGUCAAAGCCUGUGAACCUGGCUGGCUGUGAAAAAACAUCUGGGGGUCUGAUCUGGUUCUGGUGGGGCUUUUUCUUUCAUCAUGGCCAAGUCCACAGAAACCCUGAUGACUUUUGAAGACGUCAUAUAGGGUGACGGUCUCCACUGGGCGUGCUCCUGUUGGGUCGAAGAAAGCAUCAUCCGUGAUGAUGGUAAUAGUCAGCAGGUGGAGAGACGAGGAGCUGCAGUGCAUCCGUUUCUCAACUCGAGAGGAUUUUUUCCACAUUGCAGUAUUAAAGUUUUUUUUUUUUUUUUUUUAAUUUCUAAAGAUCCAACUGUUAACUGAUGUUGAAUUAUACUUUUAUUUUAUUGUAUUUCAAUCGUAUUUUGUCUGGAAUAGACGAGGUAUAAAUUGUUUCCUUGAGAUAAUGGGAUUGUUCUGGAUUUUUUUUUUUUCUCAACACUGACUAUAAAUGUAAUGAACUCGCAUUUGGUUUCAACAAACUUUUUAAAAAAAAUAAUAAAUUUGUGAAUGAACUUAA